UGGGCCACGCCGCAGGUGGCGCGGUGUUUGCUGUAGAAGCGGUUCUCCAGGUCGAUCUUGGUUUCCCCGAUGAGGUCGUCCGUGCCCACCAGGUCCCAGUCGUACACAGCCACCACCAGAUGACUCCUUGGGGGCCUCCCAGCCUGGGACCCAGUUUGGAGCUGCUCCAGUCCCUCUUGGGCAGGACAGGGAGACCGGCCUGGAGGGGACGCAAAGGGAGCCUCACCCGGACCACAUACACUCGGACCAGCACAUUGAUGGAGUCGUUGCUCGGGAUGCCCUGGAACAUGCCGAAGAAUGGCCACUAACACAGUUCCAUGGGAGAAGAUCUGGAAACAGCUGGGCAGGAUGAGCUGCGAGGGCCCUGCCAGUUCUGAUACCCUGUGGCUUUCAAUGGCCCUGGAAGAGCCCCACACUCACCACAUCCACCGUGACAACAGCAUCAGAAGUCUGCAGAGGGGAACCAAGGAGAUAGCACAGGGUCAGCCCAUGGGAGCCAAAGGGCCAGCCCAGCCCGAGGAGCGUGGAGGAGGAGAAUGGAUGGCAGCCGAGACGGCGCAUGCAGGGAUGGAGCUUUGCUGGGUGCCAUGAGCCCCACCACUGCAAGGCCAACUUUGCACUAGCGAGAGCAUGCUGCCCCUGAGUCUGCCAGGGCCCGCUGUCUCCCUCUGGCAGAUAAGCAGCCCUAGACCUAAUGCCCAGAGGAGUAAAGCGCCUAGAGGAACACGGAAAUCCUUCACCCCAGCCUGUGGGGUGUCACUCGGGAAGGGCAGGGCUGGAAAAUCAGGGACAGGACCUGGUCCUCUCCCAAGCAGUCCAUCCUAGGGCAUCAUUUGCUGGAGUAAAAGUGACUGCAGACUG